UCGACCGCCUGGGGAGUACGGCCGCAAGGUUAAAACUCAAAUGAAUUGACGGGGGCCCGCACAAGCGGUGGAGCAUGUGGUUUAAUUCGAUGCAACGCGAAGAACCUUACCUACUCUUGACAUCCAGAGAACUUUCCAGAGAUGGAUUGGUGCCUUCGGGAACUCUGAGACAGGUGCUGCAUGGCUGUCGUCAGCUCGUGUUGUGAAAUGUUGGGUUAAGUCCCGCAACGAGCGCAACCCUUAUCCUUUGUUGCCAGCGGUUCGGCCGGGAACUCAAAGGAGACUGCCAGUGAUAAACUGGAGGAAGGUGGGGAUGACGUCAAGUCAUCAUGGCCCUUACGAGUAGGGCUACACACGUGCUACAAUGGCGUAUACAAAGAGAAGCGACCUCGCGAGAGCAAGCGGACCUCAUAAAGUACGUCGUAGUCCGGAUUGGAGUCUGCAACUCGACUCCAUGAAGUCGGAAUCGCUAGUAAUCGUAGAUCAGAAUGCUACGGUGAAUACGUUCCCGGGCCUUGUACACACCGCCCGUCACACCAUGGGAGUGGGUUGCAAAAGAAGUAGGUAGCUUAACCUUCGGGAGGGCGCUUACC
rnacentral:rRNA from 1 species